GGAGUUAGCCGGUGCUUCUUCUGUGAGUGAUGUCCUUCCUGCCGGCUAUUAACCCGCAGGCCUUCUUCCUCACUGAAAGUGCUUUACAACCCGAAGGCCUUCUUCACACACGCGGCAUGGCUGGAUCAGGGUUGCCCCCAUUGUCCAAUAUUCCCCACUGCUGCCUCCCGUAGGAGUCUGGGCCGUGUCUCAGUCCCAGUGUGGCUGAUCAUCCUCUCAGACCAGCUACGGAUCGUCGCCUUGGUGAGCCGUUACCUCACCAACCAGCUAAUCCGACAUAGGCUCAUCCGAUAGCGCGAGGCCCGAAGGUCCCCCGCUUUCCCCCGUAGGGCGUAUGCGGUAUUAGCCUGGGUUUCCCCAGGUUAUCCCCCACUACCGGGCAGAUUCCUAUGCAUUACUCACCCGUCCGCCGCUCGCCACCAGGGAGCAAGCUCCCCGUGCUGCCGCUCGACUUGCAUGUGUUAGGCCUGCCGCCAGCGUUCAAUCUGAGCCAUAAUCAAAACUCUGA
rnacentral:rRNA from 1 species